AAUACACCGAUGCAGGGCAGGGACUAUCAAAGUAAAACAGGAAUAAACACGAAUAUCGAACCAGGGACAAUACACUGAAGACAAGGGAGGUACAGAGAACACCUAAACACUGGAAAUAAUUAACAAAUAACUAGGAAACUAACUGACACAAUGAAUAUUAAUAAACACAAACAACCAAGGAGACUGCGGACCAUGACAAUCGGUUUAUUUAAAACAAAAGUUUAAAAAAAUACAAAAUGUUGUUUUCUCUAGUAGAAGAAAUUAAACACUAUCAGAAUAUUCCUUAUAAAUAGAUAGCAUUGUUGUGGAUUAUAAGGAAUAAGCAUUAACAUAUCUACUGUUAAGCUGUAAAAACAAGUAGACAUCUAACAUGAAUAUUUUAUAUGAUUAUUUUCAAAGAUAUUAAAGUAUAUAGUCAGUCUCACCUUACAGAUUUUUGUGUCCUAAUCGAUCCGCUGCAUCGUCCAUUGGCAAGGUGGUCGGAGUGUGUUCGAAGAAUGUGAUACCAAAAUUAGCUGUAAACACGAUAUUCUUUGACACAUCCAUCUAUGCCACAAUCUUCACGGAAAUCUGGACUAUGGCUAUGUGCAGAAUUAAUAUGACUCAGUAGGGAUUUGAGGGUCAGACCCACAAAAACGAUGUAGAUAACACAGCGCCAAAUCAUUUUGUUUUACUGGUCUGUGAACUACUUUUCCCAUAAAGUCAAGAUAACCAGGAUUAUUCCAUUAUGGGGUAGGAAUGGCUAUCCUAAUUCAGUGCCUUAUAACAGCUGUAGUAUAAAAGAGCGAACUAAACCAUUUCCGUACACAACCCCAUACUCCUGAGUUGGUACAGCCCACCUUCCCGCCUCUAGCUCCGUGCCUAAGCGGUUGGAUUGCAGGAUUUUGGGGUCUGGGUGUAGAUGCGAUACAGUUAGUACAGUGUGAAGAAAUUAAGGCACGCUAUGGAAAAACUGGACGAAAUAACAAUUGCCAACCUGAAAGGUAUGUGACUGUUUUGUUUUUUCUAUGUUUUGUGUUCUGGUAUGUUGCAUGUUAAGUUGCUAGCAUGGCAGGCUAUACCCGGUUGUUAGCUUAGCUUAGCUGUGCGGUUAGCUUAGUUGCAUUAGCAUUUUUAAAUAUGCUAGUGCAGAAAGUUAUGAAAGAAUUCAUGUCCAGUUAUUAGUUUCAGUGUCUGUGAAUUUAUUCAACAAGUGUGCAAAGUGCCAUAAGUUAAUGCCAGUUUUACAGAAAUUGUGGGAGUUUCAAAUUUCUAUUAGUGAAGUUAUUUCAUUAUAUACUUUAGCCCAGGAAGCAAAAAAAAAAAAAACAUUUAUAUGUAUACAUG
ensembl:lncRNA